rnacentral:rRNA from 1 species
GAUGAACGCUAGCUACAGGCUUAACACAUGCAAGUCGAGGGGAAACGACAUCGAAAGCUUGCUUUUGAUGGGCGUCGACCGGCGCACGGGUGAGUAACGCGUAUCCAACCUGCCCACCACUUGGGGAUAACCUUGCGAAAGUAAGACUAAUACCCGAUGAUAUCUCUAGAAGACAUCUGAAAGGGAUUUAAAGAUUUAUCGGUGAUGGAUGGGGAUGCGUCUGAUUAGCUUGUUGGCGGGGUAAACGGCCCACCAAGGCAACGAUCAGUAGGGGUUCUGAGAGGAAGGUCCCCCACAUUGGAACUGAGACACGGUCCAAAACUCCU